rnacentral:misc_RNA from 1 species
GAUGAAGAACACAGCGAAAUGCGAUAAGUAAUGUGAAUUGCAGAAUUCCGUGAAUCAUCGAAUCUUUGAACGCACAUUGCGCCCCUUGGUAUUCCGAGGGGCAUGCCUGUUCGAGCGUCAUUAUAACCCCUCAAGCUCAGCUUGGUGUUGGGGCCUGCUGCACUGGCAGCCCUUAAAAUCAGUGGCGGCGCCAUCUGGCUCUAAGCGUAGUAAUUCUUCUCGCUAUGGAGUCCUGGUGGAUGCUUGCCAUCAACCCCCAAUUUUUCUAUGGUUGACCUCGGAUCAGGUAGGGAUACCCGCUGAACUUAAGCAUAUCAAUAAGCGGAGGA